rnacentral:rRNA from 1 species
UGGGGAAUAUUGCACAAUGGGCGCAAGCCUGAUGCAGCGACGCCGCGUGCGGGAUGGAGGCCUUCGGGUUGUAAACCGCUUUUGUUCAAGGGCAAGGCAGGCUUUCGGGGCCUGUUGAGUGGAUUGUUCGAAUAAGCACCGGCUAACUACGUGCC